rnacentral:lncRNA from 1 species
AGGCAGGCAGACAGGCAGACAUUCUGGUUUCCCUGUGAAAGCAGCUGUGUGUGCUGACUCUCUGUUGUAAAAUGGAAUUGUGUUCUUGUUUGGAUACAAUGACCCUGCUACACUAAUUAAGAUAGUUCUACAUUGAACUUGGAGAUAGAUAGGGCAUCUUCAGACUAGGCUGCCAUGCAUCCCAUCUCCCUACAACAAUAUCAAUUUAUGACUGUCCACCAUUGUUGUCUGAGUAUGGAGAACUCCCUACUUCAUACUGAAGAAUUUCCCAGUCCAGAUCAUAUAAAUUAUUGGCCAGCCCUCCUGGGCUCCACCCAGAGUCAUAAGUUAUAAAUGGCCAUGAGAGUAAAACAGCAGACUUUCUAGAAUGCUGCAGGAAAGGGAGCUGUUUGGUUGCUGGGCAGGGACAUGGGUACCAGCAACAUCCAUUUCUUGUUUCCCUGUUAAAUAUGAGGCUCCCAGUCUGGCUCUGCGGGGCAGUGUGGAUUGGCCAUUGAGGCCAUAGUAACUUGGUGAAGUUAAAUAGGUAGCAUGUUCAAAAUGCUCCCAGCAACCGUGACCAUAAUGAGAUUCCAACAAAGAGGCUCCUAUUGGUGACAUUUGCAGGGAUGCUUUUGGUCAACCAAGCAGGGAGCCUGCAGUAGCUAAUGCUUCAAAAUGCCACUUUGAGCUCCUGGUGUAGGUGAGGCCAGACCACUUGGAGAGAAGUGUGAAAUUCGUAGGAGGCCUCAGACUCUCUGAAUACUCUAUAAAAAUUAUCCUGGGGUCAGAGGGUUGGGGGACAGUUGACACCUUUGCUGAUUGUGGGAUGGGGUGGGCCAUGAGACCCUGAUUCCCUCUCACUGUGGAGCAAAAAAAAAAUGACCCUGGUUUUUCUGUUAGCUCAUAUUUUGGGGCAUGUGCUUUAAACAUGUCUCCUCCAGAAGUUAGAGAUCCUUGUUAAAUUGAAGAAGCCUUCCUGUGGCUUCUGGUCCUGGGAGCGUGGAAACAGGAAUUCUUUAUAGUUGGCCAUAUGGUUUGCAGCCCUCGCAGGCUCUAAAUCUUUGAUGGAGGUACCGCCCUUCAGAAAUGUCAGCAAAGAAAAUACUGCUUUUAACUUUUUCUUCUUAAUGUGCCCCCAAAAACUUCCUUUC